GGUGGUCACUUUGCAAGUGAUUUUAGCCUACAACGUUCAUCGUUCUUUCAUCCUGAUCCGUUAUGGAGAUGUUGCUGAAACAGAACAACCUUGGCAGGCUGGUUAUAACACUGUGGACUCUACAAGUUUUUUCACGAUCCCUAAAGCGAAUGUCUCUGACCUCUCUUCAAGCAGCAAUAUCAACUUGACGGCUUCAUGGUUUUUCCACGUUGAUGGCUCACCAAUCCUGCCAGCUAAUUUCCUACCUUUUGGAAAUAGAGAAAGAGUAACUCCGCGUUUGGAGGAUGGAAGCUCUGAAACCAUUGCAUUACAACAACCAUUCAAAUUUUUUGGACGCACACUCAACCAGACUUUUGUGAACAACAAUGGCCUUCUAACUUUCACUGAGCCUCUGUCCAACUACAUCCCCCUUCUGAGUUCUGGAAGAGAUAUCAUUGCUCCUCUUUGGACUCGCCUUGAUAACAGAUGUGGAGGAACCAUCUCCUACAGAGAAGAAACAAGCAGUGCUGUACUGGCGCAAGUCACUGCAACAGUUGGGCAAUACUUCCCUAACGUAACCUUUGCCGCUACGUCAGCUUUUGUGGCUACCUGGGACAGUGUGCCAUACUAUGAAGGU